UAAAGAUGAAUCGAGACAUUCUUAGAUCAUAAACUCGCACAGUAUCUAAUGGCGGGCAUUUGAGAUUCGUGAGAAAAUGUAAACAGUCACUUUGAAAUGUUAUGACUGGGUAAAGAGACUUACCGUCGUGCGAGGUUCGUAGUUGAUAUUGUUCUUCUAGCAUCUUGAUAUUUACCAAUAAUGCUCUCUCUGUCAAUUCGUCAGGUCUCUCAGUUUUUACGUGAUGGUUUACUGUUGCCGAGCAGUUUGUGUGAGGAGUGCUUGGCAAGAUCUCGACGCAUUGAAGAGCUUAACGCAUUCAUACGCAUUGAAGGAAAGUUGGCACGCGCACAGGCAUCAGAAUCCAAUAUUCGAUAUAAAGAUGGUUGUCCACAGGGUCCACUUGAUGGUGUCCCUGUAGCAGUAAAAGACAAUUUCUGUACAAAGAAUAUAAAAACAACUUGUGCUUCAAGGAUGUUGCAAGACUUUUGCCCUUCAUAUGAUGCAACUGUGGUGCGGAAGCUGAAGGAAAGUGGUGCAAUAUUAUUGGGGAAGUGCAAUAUGGAUGAAUUUGCUAUGGGGUGUGGCACUGUAGAUUCACUCUAUGGUCCCACUAAAAAUAUCUGGCGUUCAAGAUUCCAAGGUGUAAAAAAUACUCAAGACAAUCCUUUGCAGCAUGAAGAGUUUGACAGUGGCGAUUGUGCCCCUUUCAAAAAACAAAGGAUUCGCGAGUUUCAUACAGUGAGCACCUUGACGCAUGCUGCAGAUGAUGAUGAUUGGCACAUAGCGGGCGGAAGUUCAGGAGGGAGCGCCGUCGCUGUAGCAAGUGGAGCUGUGUUUGCGGCACUGGGCUCAGAUACAGGUGGCUCUGUGCGCAAUCCUGCGGCAUACUGUGGCAUUGUAGGUUUUAAACCUACGUAUGGUUUGCUGUCGAGGUAUGGUCUCAUACCUCUUGUAAAUUCAAUGGAUGUGCCAGGUAUACUUACCAGAACAGUUGAUGAUGCAGUAACAAUGUUUAACAUUCUAGCUGGCCACGACCCAAUGGACUCGACUACAGUGCGUAAACCAUUUUCACCGAUUUGUCUUCCUAAGGAUCCAGAUGUUAAGGGUCUGCGAGUGGGUGUGCCUGCAGAGUACCAUUGCCCUGGGCUGUCCACAGAGGUGCUGGCAGUGUGGACUGAGGUUGCAGAUUUACUGGAACAUAAUGGAGCAAUUGUUUCACAGGUAUCCUUACCACAUACACAGCUGUCAAUAGCAUGUUAUUCGGUUCUGAAUCACACUGAAGUUGCUAGCAACAUGGCUCGCUACGAUGGCAUUGAAUAUGGAUACCGGGCAAAUGAAAGCAAUUCAGCUGAAGCACUCUUUGCUGCUUCUCGCAGAUCUGGCUUUGGUGAGGUUGUUCGCAGCCGAAUUCUCUCUGGGAACUAUUUCCUCCUGAGAAGGAAUUACAACAAGUACUUCGUACAAGCAUUGAAACUGCGAAGGCUGAUAGCUCAGGAUUUUGAACAGGUGUGGUCUUUGGGUGUUGAUGUGCUGCUGACACCAGUAACUAUGACAGAUGCUCCGAGGUACUCAGAAUUUGUCAAGCUGGACAAUAGACAACAAUGCAGUAGUCAAGACUAUUGCACACAGCCUGCCAACCUUGCAGGUUUACCUGCCAUCAGUGUUCCAGUGAAGCUAUCCAAAAAUGGUCUACCACUCAGUUUGCAGUUAAUGGCACCCAUGUUCAAAGAAGAUACAUUGUUUUGCACUGCCAAAUGGAUUGAAGAAAGUUUAAAAUUUCCUGCAGCUGAACUAGCCAUGUGAAACAAAUGCAGGGUUACAAAAAGAUUCUGCACCACUAUUCUUUGAUUUUUACUUUAUCCAUAAUGGAUAUGAGACAGAUACUGGUGUUGGUGAGGCUUUGGGGGCAACAGUGGGACUCGCUCACUGUGUUUCUCAAGAGGGAUAUGACCUCCUUGGCUGGUGCCAACAGUCUUCUACAUCAAGAAGUUCGACCCAUGUACCACCUGGUCUUAACUUGGCUCAGCGGCUGUGUAACUGAGCAUCUGCAACGUUAGCACUACUUAUCCAGCAAUGGUAUUGUUUGGCUGCUCCUGUUACAUAUCUGACCAGCUGUCAGCUACUGGUACACUGAACACCCAAAGUUCUUCACUUCCCUCUUUAGAAUUCCCCAGAGCUGUGUGAAGGAAAUUUAAAUUAUUCUCUGUGAAAUAAAUGGUGGACACACAAACUACGAGGAAUUUCUCCGCUCUUGAUGUAUUCUACCCAGGAUAAUUACACACACACACACACACACACACACACACACACUUAACAGUCCUGAAAUCACACCAAAUAAUUUCCAACACAAAAUUGUGAUGUAAUUCUGGUGUUCCCUUGCAAACAUGUAUAAUAGUAAAUGUCACAAAGUGUUUAUUAUAUAUUUUGUCAGUGUUAACAGCCAAACACAUUUAAAUGUACAUAUGUAUUAUUUGUGAACUAUUUAUUGGACACUGAAUUCACUAGGUUGACAUCAGGAGGCUCAAAAUACUUCCAGGUUUAAGGAAAAUACUUAUCUGGGUACCUGUCGUCGAAAUAGUGAAUAAUUUAAAUUGUUUUAGCUCCUCCACUAAGGUUCCCUUCGUUGCAAUGUCAAGCAGUUUGUGACAUGCUAACUACAAAAAGAUUUAUGUGAAAUAAAAAAUUU